UUUGAAGGCUUUAAAACGCAGUUUUGAUCCUAACGUACGGACCAACUGGCGGCCGACAGGAGAAUGUGUAGCGUGCUAAAUAUAACUUUACUUGUACAUGCAGGCGGAAACGCCAAAAGUUUUAUUUGUAGGCGGGCACCGCAUUUUAGUACUGUGUCUGGUUGUUCUCUUAUUCUGAGUAUUCUAACUUUUUGCUCGGUAAAAUUAGUUCUAAAGACGUCUACACAAAAUGGUUUAGAAAAACUGGACCAAGAAAUAGGAUCAAGAUAUGCCCCACCCCUUCGAUCCCCAACUUCUGGACCCGCAAACAAUUUUGUUAAUUGCAAGUGUGAAACAUUUUGUUUACUAAGUAAUAAUCAUCUUAGUCUGUUAUUAGACAGGUUCAGAAUUGCUGCUACCAUUAAGCGACCGUUAAC